CCUACGGGCGGCAGCAGUGAGGAAUAUUGGUCAAUGGGCGAGAGUCUGAACCAGCCAAGUAGCGUGAAGGAUGACUGCCCUAUGGGUUGUAAGCUUCUUUUAUAUGGGAAUAAAAUGUUCCACGUGUGCCUUUUUGUAUGUACUUUAUGAAUAAGGAUCGGCUAACUCCGUGCCAGCAGCCGCGGUAAUACGGAGGAUCCGAGCGUUAUCCGGAUUUAUUGGGUUUAAAGGGAGCGUAGGUGGGUUGUUAAGUCAGUUGUGAAAGUUUGCGGCUCAACCGUAAAAUUGCAAUUGAUACUGGCAGUCUUGAGUACAGUAGAGGUAGGCGGAAUUCGUGGUGUAGCGGUGAAAUGCUUAGAUAUCACGAAGAACUCCGAUUGCGAAGGCAGCUUACUAAACUGCAACUGACACUGAUGCUCGAAAGUGUGGGUAUCAAACAGGAUUAGAUACCCUUGUAGUC
rnacentral:rRNA from 1 species